rnacentral:rRNA from 1 species
UACAGAGGUGGCAAGCGUUGUUCGGAAUUACUGGGCGUAAAGGGCGCGUAGGCGGCCAUCUAAGUCAGACGUGAAAUCCCUCAGCUUAACUGGGGAACUGCGUCUGAUACUGGAUGGCUUGAGAUUGGGAGAGGGAUGCGGAAUUCCAGGUGUAGCGGUGAAAUGCGUAGAUAUAUGGAGGAACACCGGUGGCGAAGGCGGCUCUCUGGGACGGUACUGACGCUGAGACGCGAAAGCGUGGGGAGCGAACAGG